AAAACCAUUUUUUUCCCCUUCUCUUUUUUUUUCUUUCUCUCUCUGUUCUCUCGGCUCUCUCCCUCCGAAACUCUCCCUCCACUUCUCUCCUCGAUUUCAUCUACUUAGAGCGUGAUUCCGAACAAAGCCCAAGAAUUAAAGUCGUUAUACGGAGCGCGGACUUCCCAUCCAUCCAAGAAAAAUCAAGAUCGGACCACGUGGGAGUUCGGUUGACUUGGUCAAAGGUUCGGGUUUUGCUCAAAACCCAUGAGGUAUGAUUCAAGGAUGUUGGCAUGGAGUGCUUGUUGUGCAUUUGUGACUAAACCUUUAAAAGGUAUUCAAGAAGGAUUUCAUAGCACAAGAUCUGAAAGAGCAUUUUUAGGAAAGAUCUUAUUUGUAAAUUGUAAUAAUAUUUACGUAGGAUACUAGUAUUUUGAUGACUUGGGGCCUUCGAGUUGGAAAUGUAAUAUUUGAAUUUUAUUUGAGAACAGUGAACAGAAAGGUCUUUUGGGGUAUUAUUUAUAUUACGGCGAGUACUUUAUUCAUUAAAAGUGUUUAUUAUUUAUGUUGAAAAUCGAGGGCGUGACAAAUUGGUAUCAGAGCAUUAGGAUUGAAUACCUAGAGACCGUGGGGAGACUUUUAGUCUCAUGGGUUCAAAACAUUGCAUAACUUUUCAAAAAAAAAAAGAAAUAAAGCAGCAUAUGAGUGCUUGCAUGACUGAUGUGUAGUGGUUGGAGUUGCAUUUGUAACUAUAGUUGUUGUCAUCGAUUGCAGUCUAGGUCUUGAACCAAUUAUGGUAAAGUACCUUUUGAUGAGAUGAGAUUUGGAAAGAAACCGCGGUGAUCGAAAUGGUUGUGGGUUGUGACGAUAUUGAUAUGUGAAAGAGGAAAUUUGUUAGCAUAUGAUACGAGUGUUAGAAUAUCAAUAUGACCUAUGAGUUAAGUGUUAGAUGUGAUUUCUAUGUGAACUGUAUGGAUUAAGUAUUCAGUUCUAAGCGUGUUAAGUUUUAAAUACUUUAAGUAAUUUUUAAGUGAGAGAGGUGUAUCAUAGCUAGAGGAUUGAGCUAGUAAGUGUCUUGAAUGUAUUUGAAGGGUUGAUGUCUUGUUGUGGUAAUGAUUGUGUUUUGUCAUUGUUAUGGUGGUUAUUGAAGUAGUGAUUCUGAGUAUAGGUGAAGCAAAUUGAGCCUGCUUUGGGAGUUGUAUGUAUCUAAGGUUGAUAUAGGAAAGUGAGGGUUAUAAGUAGGAUGUCAAGAUAUGGUAAGUGUCUUUUGGACACCCAGGCGACUACCGAUGAGAUCCAGUUGGAAGAGGCGCUUGAUCACCGUUCCUUCUAGAUGGAAGUCUCGGGAAGUCAAUUGGAUACUUAGUAUAUACUUAGGGGUAAGAUCUAUAGGUUUGAGACAGAUGUCUAUAUAUAGAAAUUUCGUAGAAAAAUGAUGUGCUGUGGUGUUGUCGUAAUCAUUGUUACAUUGUAGUGAUUGCCGUAGCGGUAGUGUUAUGAGGGGUCGAUAGGAGAAUAUUAGUUGUGUUAUUCGGAGAUAGGGAAAAUAAGACACAAGGAGAAAGAUAGUGAUGUGAUUUAAGUCAAGAGGUCAAUGUAAGGCAAAAUGAGAAAAUUGUUUGAAGUAAAGGCGAUAUGAGGGCGAACUAUUAAGGGUAAUAAUGAAGUGGAGUGUAGUUGGCGUCCUUAGUUGGAAUGGUGUGAAAUUCGUGGCGAGUGAGACUAUUAGAAGUUAUUGGUGUGAGUGAAACUGAUUCUUAAGUAAUGAGGUGGUAGGAGUCUUAGAAUAUAAAGAGGAAUAUAGACAUGUUUGUAACCCCGGAGUCUUGUUAGUGUUUAGGAAGAGGUUUGUCAAUUUGUUUGUAUUUAUAUUGGUGUUUAAAAUUUCAGUAUCGAGAAAGAUUAAUAGUAGUGAAAGUUUGUUAGUGCAGCUAUUGCACACAUUGUGUAGGUAUUUGGGUGAUGAAAUGCUGUGUGAUUGUAAAGUUGAUUGAGAAAUGAUUAAUAUUAAUGUUGUGUAUUUUUUAUGCGAUAUUUGAGAUUGUGAAAAUGGAAAACAUGUAACUUGAGUAGACUAAUUGAGAUGAGAGUAUUCGAGAUUGAUGGGUGAACAGAAAAUGUGAAGGGUAUUAUGAAGUUGAAAAGAACGAGAUUACCAUUGGGCCUUCUAGAGCCAUGAAAUGUGAAAUGUUGGAUACAUUGUGAGUUCGUGGAAACUUGGUGAAUCCGUUGGAUACUUUGUGAGUCCGUGGAUACUUUGUGAGUCUGUGGAUACCCGGUGAGUCCGUUGGAUACUUUGUGAGUUGGUGAGUCUGUUGGAUACUGAAUGAGUUUGUUAAUGCGUGGAUGUGUCUGGUGUUGUGUAAGCUAUUAAAUUGUACCAUGGGUUUGUUGAAAUAUUUCAAAUGUGUUGUUUAGAUUUAACCUACAUGUGUUAAUUUAUUAUGUAAUCUCAAUGUGUGAAAUUUGCUUUUAGUAUACGAUGUAGAAUAAACAUUGAUAUUUAUGUGGGUAGUUGCUACGAGGGUAUGCCUUUCUUGAUUAGCAGCAACGAUGUUUGGAGAACUGGGUUUAAGGAAAAUAGUGGAUUGAUAGUUUACCAGAACGGUUUUAAUGUGUGUUGUGAAGAGUUAUGUAGAAGGGACGCGUUACAAUAGAAGUGAAUUUGGAUUUCCGAAAAUAGAAACCGGUAGUGAUUCAAAGUAGGCUAAGAAAUGUGAAGUAGUGUUGGAUUCUAACGUGUGUUUGAAUGUUAAAUGGACGGAAAA